UUUAGCUUGUCCUUUUGAACUACAGGAAAGGGUCCUCUCUCUUGAGGAAGAAUUAGCAGACCAUUCUUUAAAGAGGACAUUUGGGAAGGAAGGCAUCCAAUGAGCUUAUGGCAGUAAGCUGUGGAAUGCUAUAUUUCAUUAAUCUCUGGUUUAUUUUAUUUUUGCGUUCAGUGUUUUUAAAUAUGAUAGUGAUAAGGAAUGCUGUAUUUCAUUAAUUUCUAUUAUUUUUUUUUUUAUUUUUGCAUUCAGUGACUUUAAAUACAGCAGCAGUGGGGAAAGGGAAGUUGCAGUAAAAAAGAUUUUGCUCUUAAGACUGUACAUGCCAAGACCUUCAGAACGGUUUUGACCUUGUCCUGCUAGAGGAAAUGCUGAUAUUCAUGACCACGCCAGUGGAAAUGAGGUUUCUCAUAGGAAGAUACAACCUGUCACGAUGCCUUGCCAAUCACAUGAGAACUGACCUAGGGAGAGCAUCAACUGAAGAAGAAAAUGUGAAGACACGACACGACAUUCAAGACAAAAUGCAAAGACCGAAACAAAUCAUGUACCAUUUGUGAUUUUCUUCUUCUGUAUUUUUUUUUUAAAUGCAGUCUUAUGCUUAAAAGUCAGUUCUCUACUUUUUGAUGUGCUUG